rnacentral:ncRNA from 1 species
CAAUGAGUCUAGCAUAUACAAAUUAUUGGAUAGUAAACCUGCUGGUAAAAGCAUAAUGAAAAUAAAGAUUACCUUUGGUAUACUUGAUAUGUGAUCUACAUAUGUAAAGGUUCCAUAAAUGGCGUAAUAUAACCCGUUCAGUCGCAUGCAGUAGGGCAGAGAUAGGGUAUAUGCUGGAAUCCAAACGAUGGUAAGCUAUAUCUGAACAGGAUGAAGCUAGCGGAAAUUCUUGGCAAAAGUGUAAAGCAAUUCUGACGUGCAAAUCGAUCAACUGACUUCGGUAUAAAGACGAUAGACUAAUCGAACGAUCUAAUGGCUGGUUCCCUUUGAAGUUUCCCUGUGGUUAGCUGGAGUACGUAAUGAAGCGGUUAUAUUUGGUAAAGUAAAUGUUUAGAGGAAUCAAGAGACGAGAAAGUCUCGUUUGUUUAAAUAAUAAUAAUGAAACGUAGACACUGGAUAUUCCCAUAAGUAGUCCACUUUAUUGGUAAAAAAACUGGAGCCAUGAGAUGAACUAAACAUUAAGUUAAAAUACUAAACUUUCCCUCAUAAGAUUCAUUAAAGGCGUUUAGUUGAUAUGGAUAACACGAUAAAUAUGGCUAAGGAAGUUGGGAACCACUAAGGAGGGUGCAGAAAUUCAUCUGUUAAAUCAAACAGCAGAUGAUACAUAGGUGAGCGAUUCAUACUCAGCUAUUGCUUGACUUACGCUUAUUACCUAUGAAUAACCUGAUUUGGACUUGUUUUUUUUUUUUAUUCAUUAUUG